UACGAAGGGGGCUAGCGUUGCUCGGAAUCACUGGGCGUAAAGCGCACGUAGGCGGAUUGUUAAGUCAGGGGUGAAAUCCUGGAGCUCAACUCCAGAACUGCCUUUGAUACUGAAGAUCUUGAGUUCGGGAGAGGUGAGUGGAACUGCGAGUGUAGAGGUGAAAUUCGUAGAUAUUCGCAAGAACACCAGUGGCGAAGGCGGCUCACUGGCCCGAUACUGACGCUGAUGCGCGAAAGCCAGGGGAGCGAACGGG
rnacentral:rRNA from 1 species